UACGAAGGGUGCAAGCGUUAAUCGGAAUUACUGGGCGUAAAGGGUGCGUAGGCGGUUCGUUAAGUCUGUCGUGAAAUCCCCGGGCUCAACCUGGGAAUGGCGAUGGAUACUGGCGAGCUAGAGUGUGUCAGAGGAUGGUGGAAUUCCCGGUGUAGCGGUGAAAUGCGUAGAGAUCGGGAGGAACAUCAGUGGCGAAGGCGGGUCUCUGGGCCGAUACUGACGCUGAAGCACGAAAGCGUGGGGAGCAAACAGG
rnacentral:rRNA from 1 species